rnacentral:rRNA from 1 species
ACCCGCUGAACUUAAGCAUAUCAAUAAGCGGAGGAAAAGAAACCAACAGGGAUUGCCCUAGUAACGGCGAGUGAAGCGGCAACAGCUCAAAUUUGAAAUCUGGCUCUUUUAGAGUCCGAGUUGUAAUUUGCAGAGGGCGCUUUGGCUUUGGCAGCGGUCCAAGUUCCUUGGAACAGGACGUCACAGAGGGUGAGAAUCCCGUACGUGGUCGCUGGCUAUUGCCGUGUAAAGCCCCUUCGACGAGUCGAGUUGUUUGGGAAUGCAGCUCUAAAUGGGAGGUACAUUUCUUCUAAAGCUAAAUAUUGGCCAGAGACCGAUAGCGCACAAGUAGAGUGAUCGAAAGAUGAAAAGCACUUUGGAAAGAGAGUCAAACAGCACGUGAAAUUGUUGAAAGGGAAGCGCUUGCAGCCAGACUUGCUUACAGUUGCUCAUCCGGGCUUUUGCCCGGUACACUCUUCUGUAGGCAGGCCAGCAUCAGUUUGGGCGGUAGGAUAAAGGUCUCUGUCACGUACCUCUCUUCGGGGAGGCCUUAUAGGGGAGACGACAUACUACCAGCCUGGACUGAGGUCCGCGCAUCUGCUAGGAUGCUGGCGUAAUGGCUGU